rnacentral:misc_RNA from 1 species
UCUCCGUUGGUGAACCAGCGGAGGGAUCAUUACAGAGUUGCAAGACUCCCAAACCAUUGUGAACGUUACCUAUCCCGUUGCUUCGGCGGGCGGCCCGGGCCCCGCGCCCGGCGCCCCCCGGCCCCCCGUGGGCGCCCGCCGGAGGUAAACCAAACCCUUGAAUUGCAUGGCCUCUCUGAGUCUUCCGUACUGAAUAAGUCAAAACUUUCAACAACGGAUCUCUUGGUUCUG